AUGCCCCUGGAGCAUCAGCACAAGAGAUCUACCCCAGCACCGCUUCCCCAUAUCUGGUGGUUCCUUUGGCUUCCUCCAUGGCGGCUGAGAAGAUGGGUCACCAAUUUGCUCCACUGUACCUCAUGGCCAAUUUGCACCAGCAUUAACGAGGUCGUAGCCAGGCUAAAUUUGGAGGACACCAAGGGUCGUAUACCUAUUGAUCUUCUCUCUGGCCCUGUACCACAGGCUAAUGUGGAUUCUCCCAAUUCAGUUGGAACGGAAGUCUUCAGUUGGGGAAGUGGACCAAACUAUCAACUGGGAACUGGCAAUGCCCACAUACAAAAAGUGUUUUAUUAG
rnacentral:rRNA from 1 species